AUUGAACGCUGGCGGCAGGCCUAACACAUGCAAGUCGAGCGAGCGGCGGACGGGUGAGUAAUGUCCGGGAAACUGCCUGAUGGAGGGGGAUAACUACUGGAAACGGUAGCUAAUACCGCAUACCAUCAGAUGUGCCCAGAUGGGAUUAGCUAGUAGGUGGGGUAAUGGCUCACCUAGGCGACGAUCCCUAGCUGGUCUGAGAGGAUGACCAGCCACACUAGAACUGAGACACGGUCCAUACUCCUACGGGAGGCAGCAGUAGGAAAUAUUGCACAAUGGGCGCAAGCCUGAUGCAGCCAUGCAGCGUGUAUGAAGAAGGCCGUCGGGUUGUAAAGUACUUUCAGCGGGGAGGCGUUACCCGCAGAAAAGGCGCCGGCUAACUCCGUGCCAGCAACCACAGUAAUUC
rnacentral:rRNA from 1 species